GAAAAGGCAAAAUAUACGAAAGUAUGUUACGCAAAACCACCGGCCUACGGAGAGUUCCAAUUUUGGAAAACUUACGGCAGCGGAGUCACC
rnacentral:ncRNA from 1 species